UUCUCUGAAUUACUCAAAAUUUCCGCUACUGGUUCUCCAGAACUGGUCAGAACCUGAUGAAUACCACUUCUGCCUUACACCUUUUCUAUUUUCGGUUAUGUUUUAUUCUAACUUAGUACUUUUAUCCUGCUCCUAUAUACAUUUUUUUAAUCUUAAAAACUACCUGCUUUAACCCUCUGAAACACAGAGCAACGAAAUCAGAAAAGAGGAAUGGUUGUCAUCAGUGGAAGGAGGAAGAAAAAACAGGCCUUACAUUCUGCAACACAGGCUUCAUCCAAACCCCUGGAAAAGAUGACACUUGAUAGAUAUAUUGCAGCCAAGCAGAUUUGAUCCGUAUGUAAUAUAAGCCCUCUGCUUGAUACUUUAGAAUGGGAUCUCUAGCAAGAGAUUGAAAGCCAAUAAGGUCUCUCAUCAUCUCUAAGAGGACAUUCCCUCCCCACAGACUCAUGCCAUCUGUUCAGCAGCAGCAGCGGUAGCAUGGCUUACUUUAAGUGGACCUGAGAUUCUAGAUCUAAAAUAUUUAAAAAAUGGCAGUCUAGCAGAUUUUAUAGGCAGGCAUAGUGAAGGAAGAAAGCAGGACUCAGCUUCUGUCAACUGUCCCAACUUGAUCAAUUAGAAAAGAAAGACUCUUAGGCCCAUGGCUAGCCAAAGAAGAGGUGGUAUUCUGCCAGUUUGCACCAGUUCAGGUGAACUGGUAGUGGUGGUGGCGCAAAGCUCAGCCUACUCACCCAGACAUCACAGAGCAUCUGCGCAUGUGCAGAGGUUUCUGUGCAUGCCCAGGCUUGUGCACCCUCCCACUACCGAAUUGUUAGUGAAAAUAAGAGGAUGCCAUUAUUGAACUAAAGGUAUACUUUGCUAAAGCCAAGUGGUUAUAGACAAAAUGAAGUUGGAUCUGAGGUUUUCCUGUCCAAAGUAUAUGGUUAACUUUGCCAUGUCACCUUGCCCCCUCUGAUUAUUAAGAAGCAUCCAAUUUGGUGCUAACAAAUUGUUUUGGGGACAGUCCCUGUCUUUGCAGCUGGCAUUCCUUUCUUGACCUUGAAGUAGUUGGUUUUUCUCACGGGAUGGUGCAUCUCAAGGGAUGGUACGAGGUUUUGUUUCAUUUCCUCAUGAUAUCUCCUGGCAACCCUCUCACUCAUUCCACCGCAGUUUCCUCCCCCGACUUUUCUGUGGCAGGCUGCCAGUGGCAAACAGGUGCAGCGUACCUUAGCAGCAGCCCUGACAGCUUCUUUUAAAAAACUUGAUUGAAAUUUUUCUUCAGAAAUUUGGACUUAGUUUUCUAAAUUUCCCGUUUCCCCCUCCUACAAAAUACCUAACUCUAAUUCCAUAUAACAAAUUAUAUAGAGGAACUCUCUUAGGCAGAGCAAUUUUUCCUUCUUUUAACAUUCAUUACUUAAAACAGACCAUAUGCUACCCACUAACUUUCGAUCAGCCUACAUGCUUCUUCAAAUUCAUUCAUUUCCCUAUUUUUAGCAAUCAUUCUCUCCCAAAAUAUACACAUUUAAUUGCUUACUUAUUUUUUUCCCAUUUACACAUAACUGACACUUGUUCAUCCAUUGUCUCUGUAAAAUACAACCACAUUGGUUUUGACACAAUUAUGUUCAUUGAAUAAAACAGGUAGUCUUCAAGUUGCAACCAUAAUGGAGCCUGCCAAUUAGUCAUGUCAUAAUAGUUAUAAAAUGAGUUGUUCAUGUAACCAACACAAUUUUAUAAAUCUUUUUGCAGGGAAUGAGUGCAGUUAAAUGAACACAAGCCCCCAAGCGAACCCAUUGUUCACUAUGGCGUGGUUUAGCUGAAAACCAAGAGUGCUGAUUUUUUGGCAAAACUGUAGUAAAAUGUCAUCUUACUCUGGGAUGCAGCAAAUGGCAGUAAAAGGGCUGUGUUACCGGAGUGUAAUCAUGUGACCACGGAGGAGGUGACCAUUGAAAUUUAGGAUCCAGGUCAUAAAUCCCUUUUUCAGAAUUGACGGUUGGGAAAUAUAAUAAGUCAAACAACCAGCAACCAGCUGUUUCCUCCCACAAGUGAUGGUGUGCAGUUUUUUCCCAACGUACCAAGCAAGCAAUGUUUACAGAACAGAAUGAAAAUGUACUUUUUGAAGCCAUAUAUACGUUUAUUCCAUGUCAAAGCUGUUUAUUUGUUCUGGUCUUUGAAAUAAAUCUUGACGUAAUAUCUUUCAGUCUAAUUUUUAAUUAUUUUCAAAUUACAAUCCAUACCUCAACUGAAUGCUACAUAUGGUGGAGUACUUCAAACAUCUGUAAAAGACAAUUGUCUUUUGCUGUUGAAAUCAAUUGUUUCCUUAUAUUAUAUCCUAAAUUAUAGAGGCAAUUGUAUUAGCCGACAAGCUUUUUGCCUUCAGAAAUUUACCAAGAGAUAAAAUUCUGUUGGCUUUAUAUGAUUUAUCUAUGAUUUCAUUUAUCUCAGAAAUUAUUUUUAAUGAAUCCUCUCUAGAUAUGUUAGUAUUUUGGGUUGCAAGGUUUGGAACCUGUCACAGAAAUUUUUAUUCAUGUCAUUUUCUACUCAGGACUCAUGAUAUAUUGAUCUUAUGUACAUGAUGAAGAUGUUAUAUUCCAUGGGAACCAGAAAUAAGGCACCGAACUUUGCCUUUUAUUUCUAUGAAAAAAUAUGCAUACAUUUUCCUAUUUGUCUUGGAAAAACAUUUUUCCUUCCACAAUUCUUCUUAAUGUAAACAUACCGAAUCUGCUGAUGCCUUCAAAUAUCAGUGGUACAAUACAUAAGAAUGAAUUGCCCAAAUAAGCUUUAACAAUUGCUUCAUACAUGUUGGUGAAAUGUAUCAAAAAGAACUGCACAACCAUUAUUCUUUCUAUGUUGUACUCUUUUGUUAUUGCUAACAAAUAAAGCCUUUAUAUGUAUUAAAAACAAGUAGCACAAUUGCAUCAUUAGCAAUUCCCAUCCAUAGUUUAAUAUUUCUCCAUGUAGACAACAAAUAGUUCUUCAGAGCAGAGUGUGGCAAGCACCUUUACAGGUAUCCUCAUACUGAUCUGAGCCAUACUGAUCUAUCGCUAACUUAGUUCAUAAAUUUCAUAAAUUUCUUAAAUUAGGCUUUUAAUUGUACAAUAAAUGUACUUAAUCAGAAAUGAAUUGCAGAAUCAAUAUUUUGAGGAAGAGUGAAUGGCUCAAGAGGAAAGGAAGAUUAAUAAAAUUAUGAUUGGAUGGGGUUGAUGAGAGCGCGGGGCGGAAUUUAAAGAACAAAAUGCAAAGGCAUUGUGUGAAUUGGUGCCUAGAUAUGAUCGAAGCAAGGAUAAAAAGCUGUAGCGGGGA